rnacentral:rRNA from 1 species
AUUGAACGCUGGCGGCAUGCCUUACACAUGCAAGUCGAACGGCAGCGGACCUUCGGGUGCCGGCGAGUGGCGAACGGGUGAGUAAUAUAUCGGAACGUACCUUUCAGUGGGGGAUAACGUAGCGAAAGUUACGCUAAUACCGCAUAUUCUGUGAGCAGGAAAGCAGGGGAUCGCAAGACCUUGCGCUGAUUGAGCGGCCGAUAUCAGAUUAGCUAGUUGGUGAGGUAAAGGCUCACCAAGGCGACGAUCUGUAGCGGGACUGAGAGGAUGAUCAGCCACACUGGGACUGAGACACGGCCCAGACUCCUACGGGAGGCAGCAGUGGGGAAUAUUGGACAAUGGGCGCAAGCCUGAUCCAGCAAUGCCGCGUGUGUGAAGAAGGCCUGCGGGUUGUAAAGCACUUUCAGUAGGGAAGAACGGGCGAGGGUUAAUACCCCUAGCCACUGACGUUACCCACAGAAGAAGCACCGGCUAACUCCGU